CUUAUCAAGAGUGGCGGAGGAACUGGUCCUGUGAAGCCCGGCAACCUUUUGCAGCAAUGCAAAAAAGGUGCUACAUCCUGCGGUGUCAACCGAGAGAUGAGG
rnacentral:ncRNA from 1 species